GCGCGAGUUGUUCAAUGGUUAGAAUGCUGGCCUUCCAAGCCGGUGAUCAGGGUUCGAGUCCCUGCUCGCGCA
rnacentral:tRNA from 1 species